rfam:Alistipes finegoldii CAG:68 genomic scaffold, scf183
GACAGGCGUAAGCCUGCUGCGGGGAGAUCAUGUGCACGUGGCCGUCGAUGCCGGCUGCCGUCAGGAUCAGGUGCUCGCCCGAUAUCGCGUCGGUUGCGGUGCUGGUCACCAGAUCGGGAUGCACGCCGUGCAUGAUAUUGGGAUUUCCCGCCUUGCCGAUACCGGCGAUUUUUCCGUCCUUGACACCCACGUCGGCCUUCACGACGCCCAGAUUGGCGUCGAUGAUCGUCACGUUGGUAAUCACGAGGUCGAGCGCCCCCUCCUCCGAAGUCAUCGUAUUGGCCAGCCCCAUGCCGUC